GCCCAGGUGGUGAAACUGGUAGACACGCUACUUUGAGGUGGUAGUGACUGAAAGGUUAUGCAAGUUCGAGUCUUGUCCUGGGCA
rnacentral:tRNA from 1 species